rnacentral:rRNA from 1 species
CCUACGGGUGGCUGCAGUGAGGAAUAUUGGUCAAUGGACGAGAGUCUGAACCAGCCAAGUAGCGUGAAGGAUGACUGCCCUAUGGUUUGUAAACUUCUUUUAUAUGGGAAUAAAACGUUCCACGUGUGGGAUUUUGUAUGUACCAUAUGAAUAAGGAUCGGCUAACUCCGUGCCAGCAGCCGCGGUAAUACGGAGGAUCCGAGCGUUAUCCGGAUUUAUUGGGUUUAAAGGGAGCGUAGGUGGAUUGUUAAGUCAGUUGUGAAAGUUUGUGGCUCAACCGUAAAAUUGCCGUUGAAACUGGCAGUCUUGAGUACAGUAGAGGCGGGCGGAAUUCGUGGUGUAGCGGUGAAAUGCUUAGAUAUCACGAAGAACCCCGAUUGCGAAGGCAGUUCACUGGACUGUAACUGACACUGAGGCUCGAAAGCGUGGGUAUCAAACAGGAUUAGAUACCCGAGUAGUC